AAAGUCGUAACAAGGUUUCCGUAGGUGAACCUGCGGAAGGAUCAUUAUCACGUAUCCACGUAUAAACCAUUGUGAACUGUUUUUUUUACCUCUGAUAAGAAUUAAGUGUAGGAAAACCUUUCGGGGGAUUCUGAUCUUAUCAGUUGUUAUCACUUAAAAAUUAAAUUAACAACUUAAACUCAAUUUUAUAAACUUUGAACUGACUUAUUUCUUACUCUUCGGAGAAGAAAUUCAUUACGAAACAUAAGAACAACUCUUAGCAACGGAUAUCUUGGUUCUC
rnacentral:misc_RNA from 1 species